AAAUUGAAGAGUUUGAUCAUGGCUCAGAUUGAACGCUGGCGGCAGGCCUAACACAUGCAAGUCGAGCGGAAACGAGUUAUCUGAACCUUCGGGGAACGAUAACGGCGUCGAGCGGCGGACGGGUGAGUAAUGCCUAGGAAAUUGCCCUGAUGUGGGGGAUAACCAUUGGAAACGAUGGCUAAUACCGCAUGAUGCCUACGGGCCAAAGAGGGGGACCUUCGGGCCUCUCGCGUCAGGAUAUGCCUAGGUGGGAUUAGCUAGUUGGUGAGGUAAGGGCUCACCAAGGCGACGAUCCCUAGCUGGUCUGAGAGGAUGAUCAGCCACACUGGAACUGAGACACGGUCCAGACUCCUACGGGAGGCAGCAGUGGGGAAUAUUGCACAAUGGGCGCAAGCCUGAUGCAGCCAUGCCGCGUGUAUGAAGAAGGCCUUCGGGUUGUAAAGUACUUUCAGCAGUGAGGAAGGGGUGUACGUUAAUAGCGUACAUCUUUGACGUUAGCUGCAGAAGAAGCACCGGCUAACUCCGUGCCAGCAGCCGCGGUAAUACGGAGGGUGCGAGCGUUAAUCGGAAUUACUGGGCGUAAAGCGCAUGCAGGUGGUUUGUUAAGUCAGAUGUGAAAGCCCGGGGCUCAACCUCGGAAUAGCAUUUGAAACUGGCAGACUAGAGUACUGUAGAGGGGGGUAGAAUU
rnacentral:rRNA from 1 species